rnacentral:rRNA from 1 species
AAAUUAAUGACUCUCGGCAACGGAUAUCUCGGCUCUCGCAUCGAUGAAGAACGUAGCGAAAUGCGAUACUUGGUGUGAAUUGCAGAAUCCCGUGAACCAUCGAGUCUUUGAACGCAAGUUGCGCCUGAAGCCGUUAGGCUGAGGGCACGUUUGCCUGGGCGUCGUAU